rnacentral:tRNA from 1 species
GAUGUGCUGGCAGAUAAAUGUGGUUGAUUUAGGGUCAAACGAUGGAGUGUUCCGCACGUUU